rnacentral:tRNA from 1 species
GCGGAGGUAGCAAAGCCUGGUCAAAGAGAAUUAUAUAAAAGUUCUCGAUCAAAUGCGCAGGACUUAAGCACCCACGGUUGCGACACUCAACAAUCGUGUUGAGACAUCCUGUCCCUUAGUGGGUUCGAGGGUUCGAAUCCCUUCCUCCGCA